UCUUCUCAUCUCCUUGACUCCUACUCCUACGGACCUAGAUAUAGCCGGUGCCGCCAUCCACAUGUGGUGCCGCACUGCAGCAGCCAACUCCACGGGCAGGUGGCUGGCCAGCUCCAUCUCCACAGAUCCCCCCGACUCCUCCAUCUCAGCUUUCCCAAGCACACAACAAACCACCAGUUUGUACGCGCGAGAGCGAGGUGGAGCACGACGAUGCAGCAUGCGGCAGCGCGCACGACCAGGAGUAUGGCGGCACAGAGGCGCAGCAAGGCGGGCGCAGACCACGACGAGGAGCAGGACCACGUCGUGGAGGCGAUGACUACGCCAAACAACCAACCGUUAGGCGCAAUGGAUUCUCAUGGAGCACAAGGUGGUGCUAGGGCUAUCACUGGGAAUGUUAACCUAGCUACUUCCCCAACUCAAGCUACUACUGUGAGAGCAUCACAACGUCAUGGUGGUGAUGGAUCUGUUAGAGUUGGUAAUAAAAGAAAGCUCACAUCAAUUGUGUGGGAAGGAAAUUUUGAAAAUAAAAUUAUUAAUGGGGAACCGAAAGCUGCGUGCAUGUAUUGCCAUAAACUUUUUAUAGAAAAAGGUACCAGUGGCACUUGACACUUGCUGAGUCACAUGAGCUCUUGUGGUGCUAGGCAUGCACCAAUUGGUCCAAAGCAACAAAAAGUAAGGUUGUCAAAGGUUGAUGAGGGGAAAGGCAAUUUGGAGAACAUUGUGUUUGAUCAAGAUGUUUCUAGAAAAGAGAUUGCACUAAUGAUAUGUGUUCAUGAGUACCCACUAUCUAUGGUCGAUCAUUCAGGUUUUCGGAAAUUUUGUUCCACAUUACAACCAAUGUUUAAAAUGGUCUCAAGGAAUAAUAUUAGAAAAGAAAUUCUGGGUAUGUAUGCAGCUAAGAAGGAUAAGAUUGUGAAGUAUUUGGCAAAUUUUAGAAAUCGAGUUGCCAUCACCAUGGACAUGUGGACCGCUGGACAUCAGAAAAGAGGUUACAUGGUAGUCACUCCACAUUUCAUCGAUGAGUUUUGGAAACUAAAGAGUAUUAUUUUGAGGUUUGUUUAUGUGCCUUGCCCACAUAAUGCCGAAGUCAUAUGUAAAGCACUGUAAAAGUCCCUUGUUGAGUGGAAUCUUGAGGGAAAGAUAUCGACAGUGACUCUGGACAAUUGCAGGUCAAAUGAUAAAGCAAUGUAAUAUUUGCCAGAUAUGCUGGAUUCUAGUUCUCUUAUAUUGGAGGGUAAGUACUUGCAUAUGCGUUGUGCUGCACAUAUACUUAAUUGGAUUGUGAAAGAUGGUAUGGAUGUCAUGGAGAAGAGUAUAGAACGGGUUCGUGAUAGUGUUGCAUAUUGGUCUGCUACUCCUAAGAGGCAUGAGAAAUUUGAAAAAAUGGCAUGAACUCUAAACAUUGAAUACAAGAGAAGGUUUCUUCUUGACUGUAAAACCAGAUGGAACUCAACCUACAUAAUGCUAAGCAUUGCAUUAGAAUAUAUAUAGAUAUUUUUGAAAAGCUGAAGGCUCAUGAGAAACUAUUUAGCUGAUGUCCAACCAAAGAUGAUUGGAAGAUUGCUAAGGAACUUUGUGAUAGGCUCAAGGUUUUCUAUGAUGUCACUGAGGCAUUUUCAGGCACUAAAUAUGUUACUGCAAAUUUGUUCUGUCCCAAAAUUUGUGGUAUUCAGCUGGCAAUAAAAAAAUGGUCUACCGGUGAGAAUAAGGUUGUACAAAAGAUGUCUGAGGAAAUGAAACAGAAAUUUGACAAAUAUAGGAAAGAUGUACAUGGACUUAUGUCUGUUGCAACUGUUCUUGAUCCAAGGUACAAACUUCAUAUGUUGCAAGCUCUGUUUGGUUCUCUCUAUGGAAUUGAAUAUGCAGAUGUUAAAGUUGAUGAAGUAAGGAAGUUAAUGGCUAAUCUGUUGGAGCAAUAUCGAGAAGAUGUUGAAGUUGUGGCUACAUCGGAGGCUAUGGACACUGAUGUCGCAGAAGUUGAUGGAGUUGAUGAUGUAAUGAACAUCUUUGAUCAAUAUAUGUCCUCAAAACCUACGAUUUGUGCUUCUCAAGUUCGGACAGAAUUAGACUUGUACUUGGAAGAGCAAACCAUCAAGAGAGUACCAGACAAAGAUAUGGACAUCAUAAAUUGGUGGAAAGUUGCAGGUGCAAAGUAUCCUACUUUGCAAAAGAUUGCUCAUGAUAUACUGCCUAUCCCUGUGGCAUCGGUGGCAUCAGAAUCAGCGUUUAGUACUAGUGGCAGGCUACUUAGUUCACAUCAUAGCCGACUUGUGCCAAGUAUGGCUGAAGCACUCAUGUGCAUGCAAUCUUGGUCCCGUGCUGACAUGAUAGGAUGAGUCCGAGUCUAUCAUAACUGAAGCUUAAUCGGUCAUGCGGUGAAGAAAGAAGAUGAUGCCUAGAAGAAUGCCUUGCUUCACUUAUAACCAGAAUUAUGAUAUACUUAUGUCUCCUGGCUGUAGGAAACUAAGGCUGAUAAAUUCUGUUGGGCUAUUUCUAUGCUAUUUUGUAAGAAAUUAAGACUAAAAAAAUUAUGUUGGGAUAUCCCUAUCAUCCUAUGUCAUUCUGUGAGGAACUAAGGCUGAGAAUUUUCUACUUAUGCUUAUUUGAUGUUCUAAUAUGUCAUUCUAUGAGAAUCUGAACGAUUAUUUCAUGUGGUGCCCUUCUCAGAUGUCAUUUUGUGAGAAUUUGAGUCUGUAUGUGAAUGUUGUGCCAUGUUAUGUGAUUUUCAAGGUAUUAUGUAUACGUGUUUUGGUAGGACCCGAUGGGUAUCCAUUGGAUAUGGAUAUCCAUCGGGUUUGGACAUGGACACAAUUUUUUGCCCGUG